GAGAAAAAUCUAUGGAUAAACUGAUAUAUUUAUAAACUGGUCCUGACAUGAAUGGAAAGGAAAGUUAAUAAGCUCUUUUAUGUAUUACAACCUUGAACCAUGAGUUCUAGUGUUAGCUUGUUUUACACUCUUCUUUGACAUGAGGUGUGGUGGGAACUAGUCACACAGGUUAAUGGUGAUUAACCUGUGUGACUAAUAUCUGGGUAACAAAAGAGACUGGCGCUUUGACAAAGCAUCAUUCUGAAAAUUUGACACACCUACUUCAUCGGUACAAUAAUGACUAAUGAAGUUACUUGACUUUUACUAGAAAAGCAUAAUUGUUAAAGAGAAGGCAAUAGGACAAAUAAUGGAGCAAGCUCACUGGUUGUGUGUACUGUAUACUACAUAAUGGCUGUUGUGAUACGCUUGCACUUGACAAAACUGAAGCGUCACAGAAGAGCUGCAGCUUCAGGCUAUCUGGCUCAUACAUGAAGUUGCGACAUGCGUCAUGAAUUACUCAGCAUGAGUGGAUGGUGAAAAGCUGAGUGUGAAUGCUACAUCGGAGGAAAUCCAGCUGACUGCAUCAAGCGCUGCCUUUACAGCAAUUUCUCGCUCUGGACAAACAUGCUGUGUGUUUCAUCUAUAAAAACCGACCGUAAAUAAUGGCCACAAUAGUUGGCCACCCUCCAGGAAGGUGCCACCUUUAAGGAGAAAAAACAGGCCAAGUGAAACUUCUUUGAACAGACAAAAUAAACAGAGCGAAAACAAACAAUCAAAGUUAAUGGACUUGAUAGAUGUAGAUGAUGCAUAAAAGGUGUGAGGCUUAGAAGUAGAAGAACCUUCUCUAAAUCCGAGAAAUGUCUCCUGAUGAGCACAAUUAUCAUGUCAUUGUGACUUCUAGUGUUAUAACAAUAAAUGUCACAAAACACUGUAAUAAAAUUUUAAGUCUUUAUUACUCAUCCUUGGCAAUAAAAAUGACAUGCAGUUUCUAUCUGCAGAUGGAAACCAGACUACCCACUCACGCAGAGGGAAAAAAAUGAACUUUAUGCAGAAAGUUCCUGGUUGAGAGGUGAACCCAGAAACUUCCUGUUGUGAAACAAUGCAGCCAGCAGCUGCAAAGCUCCCAUAUCAGUCCUCAGCACAUUAUUCCAAAAGAAGCAUCCUUUAUAAUCUUUAACCAUGCAUCCCCUUCUAGAGAUAUUAGUGACUGGCUAAUUAGUGACUAAGUGAGAAUCACAUACCAAGAUUGUGAUAAACCUUUCUUUCUUAUAAGUCUUAAUUUUUAAAUAUAUAAAUCUGUCCCUUUAAAUUGAUUUCUAAGUCAUCAUGUUGGAAUGGUUUAUUUUUAGUGAUUUUGUUCUGACUCAUCCAUUAAAAAUCUAAUAAAUAUAGGUUUGGUGAGCUCUUAAGAUCUCUAUAGCUAUAAGGAAUUCAUGAGAACACCAGACGCUGAAUAUUCCAAUUUAAAAGGUAUGGCUUUUACCCUGCCAAUGCUUAUUAAGGACCAGAUGAGUAACAUCCAGUCUAAUAGCCCAAGUUCUAGUAUUUGCACAUUAACAUGAUCUUAGAAUCACAAAGAAUAAAUUGUGUUUUAUAAAAAGAAAUUAGUAAAACUUAUAAAACUUAAAUUUUAUUAGUGUUACAUAAACAAUAAAAUGUAGACUCAAGGAAAACAAUGCUUCUCUUGUUGAUGGCAAACACUGAUUAGACUACAGUGUCUAGAAUAAAUCAAACUAGGAGAGAUGACGUGUGCACAGGUGAAUGAAUGAUUGUAGUGUCAACCAGAUUGGAGUUCUCAGAUUAGAUAAAGCCUAAACAAGUGCUGGCUAUUCUACCUUUUAUCAUGCUGCAGCUGAGUUUUUUUUUUGUUUAUGUGUUGUUUCCUCAAGAAAUGGCCUCUAUCAGUUGUACUGAACUCAGAGGUUUCAGAAAACACUUCUUGUAACAAGCUG